ensembl:lncRNA
GUCCGAUUAUGCAGCCGGGAACAUAUCUAAGAAAAAUCAAAUAGGCAUAGACUGGGACCUGUGUAGACCUCACCACAAGUCCAUGACAAAGAACAAGAAAAGAGAAAAGCCUGAGGUUUUCUUCCAAAAAGCAAUGAGAAGACACAGUUAGCUCCUGCUUAGCAAAGGAAAGAAAGUGCUGGAAAUACAAUACAGGGCCUCAUGAAUGUUCUGCCACUAGUUAUCUCUCAGGAGAAAUCAGUGUUUUUAAUCACUGACUUGAUACUCUCCAACCUCUCCUGGAGUGUCAAGUCCAACAUGUCCAAAGCUCCCAUCUCCCCAUCCCUGAACACACCUCACUGGUGCACUAUUGCUUUCAGAAAAGUGCAUCAUCUGAAGUCCAAGCAUCCUAAAUAGAAGUCUUAGAGGGACAGUCAUUUCUAUCAUAACCAAUACACUUGCUCCUAAAAAUGAGUGUGUUGUGCAGAAUUGAUCAAUAAAAACUACAGAGCUGGAGGAAAGAAGAUGGCUGCCUAGGGAGCAACUGCAAGGUUGAGUCUCAAAAUUGGCAAUGGAGAAAAGCAGGUACCCUAGGGUGGGAGUGAAAGAUAAACACUGACACAGGAGGGCAGUGAGAAGAGCAUCUAGUGGACCAAAGUCCAGUUCUGGGGGUAUGUGAUGGAAAAGAAAAGAAAAGAGAGAGAAGGAGAGAGAGAGAGAGAGAUUCAUGAAGAGCAAACCGGCACUCCAGAAAAAAAAGUACUCAAGAAUAUUCAAACAAAGCCAAAAAGUCUGAUGGAAUGAAUACAUCAAGCAAGCUGUAUCUUCUUAUGCAGAGCUAACCAUGCCCUGAGACAUGAAGAUGAAGAUCAGAGCAAAUAGAUUUGGCUACAGUUGGGCACCUAAUUAGUCACCAGGGCUGCUUGUAUCUCCAGCAGCAUAGAUAUUGUCAGCAUCAAUGACCCCUUCAUUGGCCUCAACAACAUGAAUUAUGUGUUCCAGUAUGAGUCUGCCUAUGGCAAAUUCAAUGGCACAGACAGAGUGGAGAACAGGAAGCUUGUCAUCAAUGGAAAGGCCAUCUCCAUCAUCCAAGAGCAAGAUCUUACCAACAUCAACUGGGGUGAUAGUUAUGCUAAAUAUGUUGUGAAAUCCAGUGGUGUCUCCACUACCAUGAAGAAGGCUUGGGUCAAUUGAAGGGUAAAAUAGAAAGGCUUGUCAUUUCUGUCCCUUCUGCUGAUGUUCCCAUGUUGGUGAUGGGCUUGAUCCAAGAAGAAUAUGACAACUCCCUUAAGAUCAUAAGGAAAACUUUCUGUUCUACCAGGUGUUUAACCCUUCCCCCCAUCAAGGUCAUCCAUGGCAACUUUGGCACUGUGGAGGGACUCAGGACUACAGUCCCUACCAUCAUUGCCACUCAGAAGACCAUGAAUGUAACCCCUUUAGGAAACGGUAGCUUGAUGGCCAUGGGGCUGCCCAGAACACCAUACUUAGAUCUACUGGCACUGUCAACACUGUGGACAAGGUCAUUCAUUGUGUAAUGGGAAGUUCAAUGGCCUGGUCUUUUGUCUGCCUACCUCCAGUGUGGCAGUUUGAAAUCUGACCUUGUGUCUGUGAAAAGCUGCCAGAUAUGAUGCCAUCAAGAUGGUGGUAAAGGAGGUAUCGAAGGGCCCUCUAACAGGGAUCUUUGCUCCAUUGAUACAUUAUCACCACAUGACAGAUUUAGUUCUUAUUGGUGCAUUGGUUUAUUGCCUUCCUCUCCUGCUCUAGCUGGUGACCUCCAUGAGAACAAGGACCUCAUCUAUUUUGAUCACUGUAAUGCCCCUACUGUUCAAAAAGCACUUGGCUUAAUAGUACUUCCUUCAUUAGAAUGUAUUUAGUUUCUGAAUCCUGGAAUGAUUUGUGGAAGAAUCUUGAAAUAGCUCUGGUACAUGGCUUAUUUUUAGUAACAUUGCCCCGGGUGAUACAUUUACUUAUAUUUUCUGGAACAUCUUUCUAGUAUUGGUCAUUCUACCAUGGGCUGUAGUUCCAGUACAUAUAAUGUAAAGUUUAUGGCAGCUUUUAAAAGGAGGAAAUGGUAGGGUUUAGAGACUAUAAAAUCUGCCUGUGCCUUACAUAGGAUGAGGAAACGUGAAAGUAUUUUAAUACCAAAGGUUGGAGUCGCGGUUCCUUUUAUCUUCCUUCUCCAGAAAUUACUUUUAAUUUAAAGAACAUGCCAGGGUAAUUUCUGUCAGUAAACAAAUGGAAUUUGAAAGUGAAUGUAUUAACAUAACUAUAUUUGCUUAGCACAAGGC